ensembl:lncRNA
GCAUAUUGAACGGCUGGUUCAGGAUUUUGGCUUUGGCGCCUUCUGUGAUUCUUCCUGUGUGAUUCUUCCUGUUUGGAUAACAGCGAUGACAGAGCAACGGAAGCAAAAGCAGCGCAUCGGCCUAUUGGGCCAUCCGCAGCACAUGAAUGCCAACCCCCAGCAGCCCGCGUAGCGACCACUUGACCCAACACGACCACCCAGUGAGGGGGCGACUGCCGAUGGACUGCCGAGCCUCUGCUCUGGGUGUCUGUGCGGUGUGAUCCGCAUAGCUACAGCUUAUAAUGGUAUGAAACGUUUUAGAGAAACACAAGUAGGUUAGUGACGGUAUCAUGUCUUAUAAUGUCUAGCACGUGCUCGUGGUGACUCCAUCCAGUACGACUCAGUAAGCCUAAUGUAUGUGGCCCUACGAGGGCCCGCGGUGCCAAGUGCUGUUCUAUGUAGAGACGAAUGGGAUUUUUGUUCGAUACAUGGCCUUUACUGAAUGAACUUGAACGACGGAGAAGCCGAAUGGACUGGAAAGUUACACGAAAAGUCCCAUUUCAAGCUUUUUUUUCAAACGGUUUAAGCAGUAUUUAUUAACUUUUCUUCUUUGUCUUUUGGUGCAAUACUCAAUCUUAUGCAACCUUCAUAUAUGUGGACUUGAGUCUUGAAUUGUUUUGUAAGGGUUGAGAGCUUGCACUCUUCUGUCGUGUCAUGUUUGUCUCAAAUAGCCCUCGGUAGGAGAUAUGUUGAAUUAAAUCCUAAUAUAGAAGUGAUAAUAAUAAUAUAUAAUUAUAUGCCAGCCCAAUUUUUAUUAUUUUUAUUUCAAUUACAUUUAUUUAAUUUCUUUGCUGUGUAUAUUGCAAACAAUUCAAAGGCACUCAAGAUAGUUUACUGUGUCAUAUAUAUAUAUAUGAAAAAAAAACAUAUAUAUAUAUAGAUAUAUAUAUAUAUUUUUUUUUUAUAUAUCUAUACCUUUGUUUGUCCAAUGCUGUCUUAUCUGAAAGCUUGUUUUAUGAUGAUCUUAUAUAUUUAUGUGUGUCAGUGCUGCUAAUACAUUAUGCUCAGGAGUUUACAGCUAAUAAUGAAUCAUUAG